AGUGAACUCUGGCUGUAGGCCUAACACAUUCCAGUCGAACGGCAGCACAGUAAGAGCUUGCUCUUACGGGUGGCGAGUGUCGGACGCGUGUGUUAUACAUCUUAAUCUACUUUUUCGUUGGGUAUAACGUCGAGAAACUUACGCUAAUACCGCCUACGACCUACCGGUGUACGCAGGGGAUCUUCAGACCUUGCGCUAUUGAAUGUGCCGAUGUCUGAUUAACUCGUGGGCGGGGUAAAGGCCCACCAUGUCGCCCAUCCGUAGCUCAUCUGAAAGGAUGAACAGCCACACUGGAACUGAGACACGGACCAGACUCGUACGGGAGGAAGCAGUGGGGAAUAUUGGACAAUGGGCGCAAGCCUGAUCCAGACAUACCGCGUGGGUGAAGAAGGCCUUAGGGUUGUAAAGAACUUUUGUUGGGAAAGAAAAGCAGCAGGUUAAUACAGCGCUGUUAUGAAGGUACCCAAAGAAAAAGCACCGGCUAACUUCGUG
rnacentral:rRNA from 1 species